UACGGAGGGUGCGAGCGUUGUCCGGAAUCACUGGGCGUAAAGGGCGCGUAGGCGGCCUGAUAAGUAGGGGGUGAAAUCCUGCGGCUUAACCGCAGGGCUGCCUUCUAAACUGUCGGGCUAGAGCACGGUAGAGGCAGAUGGAAUUCCCGGUGUAGCGGUGGAAUGCGUAGAGAUCGGGAAGAACAUCAGUGGCGAAAGCGCUCUACUGGACCGCAACUGACACUCAGGGACGAAAGCUAGGGGAGCGAAAGGG
rnacentral:rRNA from 1 species